rnacentral:lncRNA from 1 species
GGCAGCGAAAACACAUCCUUAUCAGUUUAAAGCAGUUGCUGCCUUACUCAGGGGGACAAAAAAUGAGAACAGGAGCCUUCUGAAGCUCAUCAAACAAGAGCUUCAAGAAUCAGAAUCGGAAUCUGUAGCUGUGAUCGUCACUGGAGUCCAUGGCCUUCAGAUUUUGUUCUGAGAAAGAGACCACAUCCUGAUUCAUGGACUCCUAGGCACCAGCAAAUAUGAGCUGCCCUGUUGCCACCCU